rnacentral:rRNA from 1 species
CGAAGCAACGCGAAGAACCUUACCAGGUCUUGACAUCCUCUGACAAUCCUAGAGAUAGGACGUCCCCUUCGGGGGCAGAGUGACAGGUGGUGCAUGGUUGUCGUCAGCUCGUGUCGUGAGAUGUUGGGUUAAGUCCCGCAACGCGCGCAACCCUUGAUCUUAGUUGCCAGCAUUCAGUUGGGCACUCUAAGGUGACUGCCGGUGACAAACCGGAGGAAGGUGGGGAUGACGUCAAAUCAUCAUGCCCCUUAUGACCUGGGCUACACACGUGCUACAAUGGGCAGAACAAAGGGCAGCGAAACCGCGAGGUUAAGCCAAUCCCACAAAUCUGUUCUCAGUUCGGAUCGCAGUCUGCAACUCGACUGCGUGAAGCUGGAAUCGCUAGUAAUCGCGGAUCAGCAUGCCGCGGUGAAUACGUUCCCGGGCCUUGUACACACCGCCCGUCACACCACGAGAGUUUGUAACACCCGAAGUCGGUGAGGUAACCUUUAUGGAGCCAGCCGCCGAAGGUGGGACAGAUGAUUGGGG